GUGUUAAAGAGAUGGAAAGAGUAUUUUGAAAGUGUGUUUGAAAGAGAGGAAGUAGUGACAGACUGUAAUAUCGUGAUUGGAGAUGAACAAAUUGAACAGGUGAAAGAGUUUGUGUAUCUGGGUUCGAAGUUUACAAGAGAUGGAAAGUGUGAGAGUGAUAUUGAAAGAAGAGUGAAUGCAGGAAACAUGGUGAACGGAGCUUUGAACUCCUUUAUGAGCAGUCGGAAGGUGUCUAAAAAGGCUCGUUUGGCUG
rnacentral:misc_RNA from 1 species